UACGGAGGGAGCUAGCGUUGUUCGGAAUUACUGGGCGUAAAGCGCACGUAGGCGGCUUUGUAAGUUAGAGGUGAAAGCCCGGGGCUCAACUCCGGAAUUGCCUUUAAGACUGCAUCGCUAGAAUCAUGGAGAGGUGAGUGGAAUCCCGAGUGUAGAGGUGAAAUUCGUAGAUAUUCGGAAGAACACCAGUGGCGAAGGCGACUCACUGGACAUGUAUUGACGCUGAGGUGCGAAAGCGUGGGGAGCAAACAGG
rnacentral:rRNA from 1 species